rnacentral:rRNA from 1 species
UUCGCAAUGUCCGAAAGGGUGACGAAGCGACGCCGCGUGCGGGAGGAAGGCCUUCGGGUUGUAAACCGCUGUCGGGAGUUAAGAAAUGCAAGGAUGUUAAUAGCGUUCUUGCUUGACUAAGGCUCCGGAGGAAGCCACGGCUAACUCUGUGCCAGCAGCCGCGGUAAUACAGAGGCGGCAAGCGUUGUUCGGAAUUAUUGGGCGUAAAGAGCACGUAGGCGGCUGUGUAAGUCGGUUGUGAAAGCCUUCCGCUCAACGGAAGAACGGCAUCCGAUACUGCAUGGCUUGAGUGUGGGAGGGGAGAGUGGAACUUCUGGUGGAGCGGUGRAAUGCGUAGAUAUCAGAAGGAACACCGGCGGCGAAGGCGACUCUCUGGUCCAUAACUGACACUGAGUGUGCGAAAGCUAGGGGAGCAAACGGGAUUAGAUACCCCGGUAGUCCUAGCCGUAAACGAU